UACGUAGGGGGCUAGCGUUGUCCGGAAUCAUUGGGCGUAAAGAGCGUGUAGGCGGCUCGGUAAGUCCGCUGUGAAAGUCCAGGGCUCAACCCUGGAAUGCCAGUGGAAACUGUCGAGCUAGAGUCCGGAAGAGGCGAGUGGAAUUCCUGGUGUAGCGGUGAAAUGCGCAGAUAUCAGGAGGAACACCAAUGGCGAAGGCAGCUCGCUGGGACGGUACUGACACUGAGACGCGAAAGCGUGGGGAGCAAACAGG
rnacentral:rRNA from 1 species